GGAACGGGGGGCUGCAAAGCAGGGGGUGCCGCGACGCGGUGCAAGUGGGAAGGGGGAGCUGCAAAGUGGGGUGCAACUGGGAAGGGGGGGUGCUGCGAGAUGGGGUGUAACUGGAAAGGGGGGGGUUGAAAUGGCGCAACUGGGAAGGGGGCACUGCAAAGUGGGGUGUGCUGUGAAACGGGGUGCAACUGGAAAGGGGGGGGUGUUUUGAAACGGGGUGCAACUGGAAAGGGAGCACUGCCAAGCGGGGUGUGCUAUGAAACGGGGUGCAGGUGGAACGGGGACACUGCAAAUUGGGGUGCCACUGGGAAGGGGUGUGUGUUUUGAAACUGCAACUUGAAAGGGGCACUGGAAAGCGGGAUGCAACUGGAAAGGGGGCAGUGCAAAGUGGGGUGUGUUGUAAAACGGUGCAGCUGGAAAGGGGGGCACUUCAAAGUGGGGUGCGAUUGGAAAGGGGGGUUGCAGGGCUGAGGGGCGUGCUGCAAAGUGGGGCGCAGUUGGAAAGAGGGCACUGGAAGGGGGGUGAGGGGGGCUUUGCAAAGUGGGGUGGAACUGCAAAGGGCGUGCGCAGGGGCAAGGGGUGCACUGCAAGGCGGGGUGCAGCUGCAAAGCAGGGUUAGAACCCAAAAGGGGGAGCAGAGGAGCAGGAGGGCACUACUGCAAGGCAGGGGGCGACUGCAAGGGGGGUGCAUGGGUCAAGGGGUGCGGUGCAAAGCGGGGUGCAGUGCAAAGGGUGGGGCAGGGAAACGAGGGGGUGCUAGAGCAAGGUGGAGUGCAGUGCAGGGCGGGGUUCGGCUGAAAAGGGUGCACGGAGGAGAAGCGUGCGGCGGGCACGGGUGCAAGCCUCAGAGCUUCCAGCGUGAUGGUGCUUGGGGAAAGCUGCAGGAAACGCCGACGUUCGUCCCCUGGCAGACCUGGGCGGGAAGAGGGAGCACGCCGUGUUGCUGGUGGAAAUGAUCAACGACAAACGUGACCCAUCAAUUAACGUGGAUCACGAGUCUGAGCAGGAACCAGCUAGGCCAGGUCCAACUCUCAGGCAGUUUUAUUCCUUGCUCCCUGUCUGUUUCUUGAGACUGAAAAUCCAGCCACCCUAUUUCAUGAGGAUACUCUCCGAGGUGGUUAUACGGCACGACAUUGGGCGCUGGGAAGAGAAUGCCUUGUUUACAUUCCCCAACGUGCCUCCAGUUCCCUUUGUGACCACAGCGAGUUCCUUAAACUCUGCAGCUCUGCAAUCCAGAAUAAGUAAGUACCCACAGCUCUCCUUGACUUCAGCCACUGUUAUGUCUAUCACCAGCUCUGAAAAAAAUCAAGCCUUCUAUGCCCCAAUUUCCUCUCUGUCAGCAAGCAAAACUUACAUGUCAAGGGCAUCUGAAGCCUGACGGAUUUUUGCGUGGAGCUUCAGAUCCCCAUGAGGACGGCAGCUGAGAAAAGAAGAUAAAACCUUGUUGUAAGGGUGGUAGUGAUGGAUACCGAUUAUUAUUUGUUUAAUUAAAAGAGCCUGGACAGACGCAGAGGCAACAAUUAAUUAUCUCCUGUAAAAACUUCGACCACAGCUAAAUAAAUUAAUGGGUUAUGAGAUGAAGACA
ensembl:lncRNA